GAAGGUGUGCUGUGAGGCAUGCUGGAGGUAUCAGAAGUGCGAAUGCUGACAUAAGUAACGAUAAAGCGGGUGAAAAGCCCGCUCGCCGGAAGACCAAGGGUUCCUGUCCAACGUUAAUCGGGGCAGGGUGAGUCGACCCCUAAGGCGAGGCCGAAAGGCGUAGUCGAUGGGAAACGGGUUAAUAUUCCCGUACUGGGUGUUACUGCGAAGGGGGGACGGAGAAGGCUAUGUUAGCCGGGCGACGGUUGUCCCGGUUUAAGCGUGCAGGCUUGAGUUCCAGGCAAAUCCGGAACUCUUUAAGGCUGAGGCGUGAUGACGAGGCACCACGGUGCUGAAGUAACAAAUGCCCUGCUUCCAGGAAAAGCCUCUAAGCAUCAGGUAACAUCCAAUCGUACCCCAAACCGACACAGGUGGUCAGGUAGAGAAUACCAAGGCGCUUGAGAGAACUCGGGUGAAGGAACUAGGCAAAAUGGUGCCGUAACUUCGGGAGAAGGCACGCUGGCGCGUAGGUGAAGCGACUUGCUCGUGGAGCUGAAGCCAGUCGAAGAUACCAGCUGGCUGCAACUGUUUAUUAAAAACACAGCACUGUGCAAACACGAAAGUGGACGUAUACGGUGUGACGCCUGCCCGGUGCCGGAAGGUUAAUUGAUGGGGUUAUCCGUAAGGAGAAGCUCUUGAUCGAAGCCCCGGUAAACGGCGGCCGUAACUAUAACGGUCCUAAGGUAGCGAAAUUCCUUGUCGGGUAAGUUCCGACCUGCACGAAUGGCGUAAUGAUGGCCAGGCUGUCUCCACCCGAGACUCAGUGAAAUUGAACUCGCUGUGAAGAUGCAGUGUACCCGCGGCAAGACGGAAAGACCCCGUGAACCUUUACUACAGCUUGACACUGAACAUUGAGCCUUGAUGUGUAGGAUAGGUGGGAGGCUUUGAAGCGUGGACGCCAGUCUGCGUGGAGCCAACCUUGAAAUACCACCCUUUAACGUUUGAUGUUCUAACCUGGCGCCGUUACCCGGCGUGGGGACAGUGUCUGGUGGGUAGUUUGACUGGGGCGGUCUCCUCCCAAAGAGUAACGGAGGAGCACGAAGGUCAGCUAAUCACGGUCGGACAUCGUGAGGUUAGUGCAAUGGCAUAAGCUGGCUUGACUGCGAGAGUGACGGCUCGAGCAGGUGCGAAAGCAGGUCAUAGUGAUCCGGUGGUUCUGAAUGGAAGGGCCAUCGCUCAACGGAUAAAAGGUACUCCGGGGAUAACAGGCUGAUACCGCCCAAGAGUUCAUAUCGACGGCGGUGUUUGGCACCUCGAUGUCGGCUCAUCACAUCCUGGGGCUGAAGUAGGUCCCAAGGGUACGGCUGUUCGCCGUUUAAAGUGGUACGCGAGCUGGGUUUAGAACGUCGUGAGACAGUUCGGUCCCUAUCUGCCGUGGGCGCUGGAAGAUUGAGAGGGGUUGCUCCUAGUACGAGAGGACCGGAGUGAACGCACCGCUGGUGUUCGGGUUGUCAUGCCAAUGGCAUUGCCCGGUAGCUAAGUGCGGAAAAGAUAAGCGCUGAAAGCAUCUAAGCGCGAAACUUGCCUCGAGAUGAAUCUUCCCUGACUCCUUGA
rnacentral:rRNA from 1 species